rnacentral:rRNA from 1 species
GACGAACCGUGCGAACGUUAUUCGGAAUCACUGGGCUUAAAGCGCGUGUAGGCGGGCCGGUGCGUCGGUCGCUGAAAGCCCCCGGCUCAACCGGGGAAGCGGCACCGAGACGACCGGCCUGGAGGGGGGUAGGGGGACCUGGGAACUUCCGGUGGAGCGGUGAAAUGCGUUGAGAUCGGAAGGAACGCCCGUGGCGAAAGCGAGGUCCUGGACCCUUUCUGACGCUGAGACGCGAAAGCCAGGGGAGCGAACGGGG